ACUGUGAUUUGCCUCGUGCUCCAGCAGGGGCGUGGUAUUGCCAGCUACAUACAGUUUCUGCGAGUAUGUGACGUCUGGAAUUCUUGGGACUUUUCAGAGGAUAUUUAAAUGCUAGCACCUUGAUUAGAAGGGGGUGUUUGGCCAGCUGGUGGUUUGUACAAUUUGCUUCAAGGAACUCAAUGUUCCUAAUCGGCAGGAAAAAGAUAUCUUCAUCCUUCCCUCUCUGUUUUGUCUCCUACCUAGUGUUAGUGGUUGAAAGGGUGGAAGAAGAUGGGAGGAGAAGGGCAGGAGAAAGAAGAACCCACAAAGCAGGCAAAAGUUCAGCCGUAAGACAAUAUUCUGGAAGGUGCAAUGGGAAUGCAGGGAGGACAAAGGAAUUCUCAUCCAAGGUUAAAGUUGGCCUUUGUGUUGGUGGAGGUUGGGAGAGGAGGUAUAUUCUAGUGGAGUGUGGACAUCCAACAUAAGGUUUAUCAGAGUUUUCAGGACAUUAAAACCAAAUGCAGCCACAUGACAAGUCCUCAUCUAACAUGACUGUUGUUCUUGGAAGAAUAAACCAGGACAGAGACAUGAAGGCAGAUGCAGGAAUGUCACCUUCUACAAGCCAAAGAGCGAAGUUCUCAGAAGAAAUCUCACAGCCAACCCCUUAACUUUGGAUUUCUGACUCAGAGCUGUGAGAAGACGAACUUUGAUGUUUUAGCCCCACGGUCUGUAGCACUGUGCCAUGUGGCCCUGGAGGACUGGCUCAUCUGUGUUCUGCUCUGUGCCUGCCUGUCUCUCGGUAGAAGCCCAUACCCAUCUUUGGUUAUCCCUGCAUCUGAUUUACAACCUCUGGCUUUGGUAUCCAGAGACACUACUUUCCAGCAUUCUUUGCUGGUGUGAUUUUUGCCCUUUCCCCCUAACUACUAGACAAAGAUACAACAGGCUUAACAAGUGAUCUGGGACACCCCUUCCUCUCGGUCCUGCUGGAGCUUCCUGACAGUCCGCUGACAUUAUUUAUGCAAGAUACACCAGCCUCCAGUGCAUAGCAUGUCAAGUUUUUACAAGGGUACUGGCUGUGUGGAUUCCUCUCUGCAGCUUCAGAUCUGGCUUCCGCUGAUUCCUCACUGAGGACGGUCUGUUCUGAAUCUGGGGAUUGUCCGCCUACAGAGACAGACAUGACAGGCUAAUGACCCGAAGGCCUCAGACACAUGUUGCUCUUUCCGUGGGAUUUCCACCCGCACCAUCCAAAUGAGACGGUCGCAGGGAAAAGUCCUUCCUCGAUGAGAGUUUUGCUAAUUUGGCUUUUCUGAUUAAAUCUGGCCCGAGGAUUGCGGAAACACGAGGAGGAGCUGCAGUUGCUGGCGACGUAUUUAUCGUGGCCCGCAGCCACUGCAGUAGAAGCGGAGUUUCGUCUGAGGCUGUAAAGAAACGGAAAAGGCCUGAGGACUUCUGGAAGCACAGUUUGGUGAACAUCUCUGCAAAGGCCAAGUCAGCAGGAGGCAAGAGGAGGCAUGGUUCUUUUUCGGAGAAAGAAAGGGAGAGAAAAGGAGAAGAGGCAAGGAUGAAGAGGUCUUAGUGUCCCACUGCUGUGAAGAGAUGCCACUGCCAUGGCAGGCCUUAUAAAGGGAAGCAUUUAAUGGGGCUGGCUUACACUCAGAGGUUUAGUCCGUUCUCAGCAUGGCGGGAGCAUGGC
rnacentral:sRNA from 1 species